UACGAACCGGACAAACGUUAUUCGGAAUCAUUGGGCUUAAAGGGUGCGUAGGCGGCCGCGUAAGUCGGGUGUGAAAUCCCUCGGCUCAACCGAGGAAUUGCGCCCGAUACUGCGUGGCUAGAGGGAGACAGAGGCGAGCGGAACUGAUGGUGGAGCGGUGAAAUGCGUUGAUAUCAUCAGGAACACCGGUGGCGAAGGCGGCUCGCUGGGUCUCUUCUGACGCUCAGGCACGAAAGCUAGGGUAGCGAACAGGAUUAGAAACCCCAGUAGUCC
rnacentral:rRNA from 1 species